ACAUCUAUGAAACAUCGGCCUGGCGGAGGCCGAUAUAAUUUGGUCAGUGCUCUGUUCUCCAGCUCAUCAAUCGUCGGCCCUGAGUUGGUUCACGACCGCGGGCCGAUGCCGCGCUUCUCUGUGUGCGCGUGCCCAGUAUUCGUCUCUUUUAGCCACCCAGAGAGAGAGAAGAGGAUAAUCCCAGCGACAUCUGUGGCUCUGAGGCUUUCAGAAAUAAUCCGGUGAAAUAAUAUGAUGUUUGUGUAAAUGCUGUGUGUGCGUUGAGUCCUGCGCUAGCGGGGAGCAGAGUUGCCAUGGAAACGGGGCGUCAACACAAAAACCGUUACUGGCAAGCAGUAAUCUCCGUCUCUCGCUGCAGUUUACACUGUUUUAGAAACGGUUUAGUGUCUUCGGAAAAGUCCGUUAUCAUUUUAGCAGUUUUCAGGUAGGCUAACUAUAUAGAUUGAGCUCUUGUUGAUGAAACUCUGG